UAAAAGUUGGAAGCUCUUUAGGGCAUUUGUAAUCUGUCUUCAAGCCUUAGUGAACACAGAGGGAAUCUAUACCACUGCUGGAGUCCCUUGGUGCUACCACAAUAAAAACAAGAGUGACUGUGGUGAGUAGAUGUGACCUGUAUUUUUAUCUAUAUUGCCACUUUUGUACUUACACUUGUAUUCAAAUUUCUCUCCUCUUUAAACAUCUCUCCCAUAGGUCAUAAUUUGUGUUUCCCCACCCUGUCCUUUACUUUGUAUCUCAAUCAUAGUAAGGUUUGUAAAAGAGUACCCUGUUGAGAGAAAUGAGAAAUAGCAUAGGCAGUUUCACUAGAACAAGGGAAUUUUGCUGCUUCAGAUACCAAGAAGCUUUGUCCAAUAAACCAAUCAGUGGCUUUAUUUCUCAAAAUGCAUAAAUGCACUGAACUCCUGAUUCCCUACCACUUAACAAGGUUGAUGAGAGUCAGCGAAAUGGCUUGUAGCUUAAUUUAUAUAUCCAGUAAUUCUGUGGCUUGUAGCUUUUAUUUAUAUAUCCAGUGAUUCCUCUGAGGACCUGAAAGGAUAGGUAGAAAUAAUAUUCACCCACCUUGCCACCUAUGUGCAUUGCCUUUUUUUUUGUUUCUUUACCCCUGCACAGCUUUUCAUUGUCUAAUAAACAUUACAGAGGUCAUUACAGAGCUUUUGUAGUUCAACUGCCAAGCCAUCUUUUCCUGUGGGAGCUGGGAGUUCUGUUAGGAAAGGUAUCUUCUACAUAUCCAGAUUCAAACGUUAUUAUCUGCUUUUAAGUUCAAGACAACAGCAAGUACAGCAAACUUAGUGCUACUAAUACAGGAUCCUUUCUUUGAAGUUUUAGCCCCAAAAGACACCGUUUCCAUUUGGCAGCAGUAGCUGAUUCACAUGUUAUCUGAAGCUAUGCUUCAUCUUCUGGGAACUGGAGGAGCCUAGAUUUGUCACUUGAAAUGUCAGCAGCUUUUUAGGUCACAAGAAUUGAAAAGGCACAGGAGCUAAAGCCAGUUCUAACUUUUAUAAUAACAGUAGCAAGAUCUCUGAAACCAGGAAGAACAGGUCUUGGGAUGUUUUAAGUGCAGAGCCAGCAUACUUUCAGCCUAUAUCUAUUAAAAAGCAUAUGCCAUUCAAACAAAAAAACACCACUGAUUUAUGCUUCUUAUUCUCCACACAGUGUCAUAUUAUUCUAAUUGUACAGUUGGCACUAUGAGAUCCAGCCAAGGCCAGUGGAAAGUUCUGCAUAGGUAUAGACACAAAGAGAAAGGGCUUGUUUCCUCCCUGAAGAGGAACCUGAUUUUAUUGUUGUGCGAGACUGGAGCUUAUCAGGUACUCAUCAUUGACAAAUAUGCCCAAAAAAAGAAUCAAAAAGAAUCAGAAUUCAGCACAGAGUGGUCUGUAAGAUAUUUUGAAAACAACCUGAGAGUGUUAUUAUUACAUCCUUAUCUCUAAAUUGGAAAGAAUUUGAGUAGAUUUGAAGGUUGGAAUAUACAGUGGAUAAAAAAUUGGUUGGACAGCUGCAACCAGAGGAUUGUGGUCAGCAGCUCUGUGUCUCAGUGGAGGCUGAUCACAAGUGGUGUCUCACAAGGGUCCACCUUGGGACCAGUGUUCUUCAACAUCCUCAUCAAUAACACAGUGGAAUUGAGCGCACCCUCAGUGAGUUUGCUGAUCACACCAAGAAGGAAGGGAUACCAUUCAAAGGGACCUAGACAAGCUUGAAAAGUGAGCCCACAUGAACCUCAUGAGAUUCAACAAAGGUGAGAGCAAGGUGUUGCAUACUGUUGGAGCAGUCUCGGGUACACAUACAUACAUACUGGGAGAAGGACUCAUUGAAAGCAACCCUGCAGAGAAGAACUUGGGGGUCCUGAUGGAGGAAAGGCUGGGCUUAAGUCAGCAGUGUGUGCUUGCAGCCCAGAAGGUCUAAUUGUAUCCUAGACUGCAUCAAAAGAGGGAUGGCCAGCAGGGCCAGUGAGGUGAUUGUUCACUACUACUGUGUGAGGCCCCAUCUGGAGUAUUGUAUUCAGGUCUAGGUGCAUGAAUGUCAUACAGCUAUAUUGGAGUGUAUCCAGAGGAGGGCCACAAAGAUGAUCAGUGGACUGGAACACCUCUCCCACAAAGACAGUCUGAGGAGCUGGGCUUGUUCAGCCUGGAGAAGAGAAGACUCCAGUAGGGAGACCUUAUUGUGGCUUUCCAAUGCUUAAAAGGAGUUUAUAAACAGGAGGGAGGCUGACUGUUAACAUGGACUAAUAGUGAUAGAGCAAGGGAGAACAGUUUUAAACUAAAAGAGGGAAUAUUUAAUUAGAUGUUGGGGGGAAAAUUUUCACUCAGAGGGUGAUGAGGCUCUAGCAUAGGCUGCCACGAGAAGCUGUGGCUCUCCAUCCCUGGAGGUAUCCAAGACCAGGUUGGAUGGGGCCCUGGGCAGCCUGAUCUAAUGGGUGGCAACUUCUCCCACAGCGUAGGACUGGAGCUAGAUGAUUUUUAAGGUUCCUUUGAACACAUGCCAUUGUAUGAUUCUAUGAUUCCAUUGUUAUAAUGCAGUCAGAAAAUUGUGUUUUGGUCAGAAUUAAGUUAAAUACAAAAUGUAAAGCAAUAGCUGCAUGUUUAUAAGCACAACCACUUAAGGGUAAUACAGAGAAUUUAAUGGAGGGACAAUUUGUGACUUAUUGUCUAUUAAAAUGGUCUUAUUUGGCCUGGUCUCAGGAAAUGUACCUUGAAUCAGACCAACGGUCUGGUGACCUCACUAACUACUGAACUGCAUGAGACAGACAUGAAGGAUUCAAAAAAAAAAAAAAAAAAAUCUGUGGAAAAUGUAGUCUGAAAGCAACACUCAAAAAACAAAGGUGAAUGAUGUGUUUUUAGAUAUAGGAGUGUAACUUUGACACAGAAUGGCAGAUGGGUAAAAGUGUUCUACCUUCAUGUGCACUGUUUGAGGAUUAAUCUCUGUAUUACAAGUGAAUUUGUGCUAGAAAAGAAAGCUUAAGAGGGAUCAUACGGUCUUGUGUUCAGAAAAUAACAGGUUUACUGUCUUAAAAAAAACAAAAACUUUUAGUGAGGUAUGUGGUUAUGAUGGCAGAUUUAGAAAAUUAUUGGUAAACUAUAAUAGAUUGUAAUUUUAAGAAUGACUGAAUAUACUUUAUUGGUGGUGUCUUCCAUUGCAUGGGCUGAAGUCUCAACCUGACUUUAAAUGUUUGUGUCUACUCAAAGUGCUCAUUAUAUUCAUUUUUUGGCACAAAAGUUGUUUUUGUUUGAAGAGAUGUGUAAAAUGUUGGGGACUAUUUUAGCUUAUUCAUUGAAUGUAGCCUUAUUUAUUUGAGAGUCUAUCUCUAUAAGCAAAUAAUUAUUCCUAUUUGAAAAUGUGAAUAGUUAACAAAAAAAUUCCACUAGUUUUUCAUUUGAGUCCUUUUUGAGGCUGCAUAAUGCAAAAUUUGGAAAAAACUUAAGUUGGACAUAUUUCAUCCAAUUUUGGAGAUGAGAUCACUUUCCCUCACAAUACUUGAAUUAAGAAGUUGAAGAUAAACCACUAGUAUGAUAAUUCUAACUAUUUUUAAUGUAUACAUAGGAAAAAAUGUCCAAAUUAGAUUUGGCAGUAUUUGUGAAGUCUGGCAGUGACAGCUGUCAAAUAGGAAAAGUAUAGUUGGGAAAAAAAACCUGGCAAAAUGAACUCCACCUCAUAGAACCAGAAGAAAGGGAGUUCAAGUCAUACAUACCUAAACUGUCCAAGGGAAUUUGUAUCAUAUUUUGGCUAGAGAACUGCCAGACAGCAUGUGCAUUUAGUCUUUUGCUUGGAGAAAAACAGCUUGACUUCUUCCUGUAACAGUACCCAAAAAAAGAUGGAGCCCCAGCUGUAAAGGUGGCCUUGUGCCAUUUAGGUUGGAGUGUGGACCCACAAACAGCAGCACUAGUGAAGAAGAUACAAGGUAUGGGUAAAUGCAGCCCUCAGAGUCUCCCUGUCACAGAACAUGUCAAUGACACUACAUCUCCUGCUUAGCUAGGAGUGCAUCCUUCCCAGUCAUACCUAUAUUAGCAACAGACAUGAACAGAAUACGUGUGUGAAGUCUGCCUUUAAACAGAUUCCUUGCAGUGAUGGAGAGGUGACGCAUCACAUCUUCUCAGUAUUUCACCCGAAAGCAGACUGAUCAGCUGAGGAAGAGAAAUGAGCAACAGUAAUUCCCCUCAGAAUAUCUGCAUCCUCUUCCCAGUACUUCCUCAUAGUCCUUGUUUGCCAUAUUUUCUUUCUGAAUACAGAACUUCAAAUAUAUGCCUGCAUAAUUCACUUUUUUGGUUACACAGCUUCCUCAGGGAUUUUUCCUACUACCCUUAUUCUGCUUUAGCAAGAAUCUUUCUGUUUCUCACACAUGUGACUAACCAAAAAAAAAAGAAAGAGCCCUUUUUCUCCAGGAAUAACAUAGAAAAAUAAAUAUAAAGCACUUCCUAGCAAUUUUGGCACAUCUAGAAUGAUCUUCAGUCUUCAGUGCAGCUCUAAAGAACUUUUAUCUACUUUUUCUUCUGACCAGUUCUAUAAGUCUACCUGAGGUACCAACUUGAGCACAUAACAGCAGUCCUAAGUGCCUCUAAAUUACCUUCAGAAAAUACCUGAGAUGCCUCUCUUCCAUUUACAUGCCUGAUUAAGUGCUUAUUUGCUAUGUAGAGCAAAGCUCUUGCUUUGAAAGUUCUGUUUACUUAACAAUUAUCUUUUUGAAAUAGAGCAAAGCGAGACAUUUCUACUCUGGUAUUUCCAAAUCCCUCCUUGGCAAUGUUAAUCAAUCCAAAACCCUUUUUCUCCUUUAAAUAGAAGGCAGAAUAUAUGAAUGCAACAAAUCAGGGUUGUUUUUGUGUUUUUUUUACUUUAUGUUGUCAUUCGAGGAGUCUCUAAAUUUCUCUUCUGUAAUACGAAGACACUGACCCCAGGCCAGCUUAGCAACUCUGCUCUACUCCAAUGAGACAAAACUGGAUUGCUGAUAGGCUCUGUAUAAAAGCAAUUCCCAGAUGAUCAGGGGCAGCUUCUGUGGCUACAACAUAUUCCCCUUUCCCAAAGACUUGGCAUAAGCAGUUCUCUGGGAGAAAGUGGAUAUGUUUCUGUCAAAUUCAUCACAAAGUCGUGGUUAAGCAGUUGGCCAUGGCUGAACAUAGUGGUUCUUUAAUUUGUCUAAAUAAAAAGUCCUUUUCUUUGCCCACUCUUUCUUACGUAAAAAAACUUUUAUUAGUUGUGUUAAUCUUCCUCUUACCAAACUCUCACUUCCUUGUGAUUUGAAGUGUAUCUCAUUGUUAACUGGUAUUUAUAUAAAUAACAAUAAAUCAGUUAGAGACUGAUCUCAGACAAGAUCACAACUGAGAUUUAAAACUCAAAAUUAUAUAACUCAGAGCAGAAUCCAAUGUUUCAAUCUCUUCUAUCCAAAAUGAUAUAAAUCUCUCAAAAUGUGGCUAAAAUUCUGCAACGUAGAGACAGCUCCAGUUCUUUCCUGUCUCUUCCUAGCUGUCUUCUUGGCCUUAAUCUCAUUGCUUUAAUUUUCUCACAUUCCAUUUCUCCAUCUUUAAAAUGGUGUUAAACUUUACACCUUUGUUAAGUAGUGUGAGAUAAACCAGUUAAAUAUUUCAGUAGUGCCUGAGUUUUAUUAGUGUGUGGCUGGUAUUGAUUUCAUUUUAUGCAAAUAUUCUUUCAUAUUAUAUGAGAUGUGUAUGGUAACUGUUGAGUCAUGGCCUGAGCCAUAGAUAGAGCACUCAGGGAAAAGAACUGGUCAGCCCUGAGAGCACAGGUGAAGACAAUUCACAUGCAUGACCAGAAGGGGUGGAGCUUGGCUGCACCUCUCUUAGGCCCCAUUUAGUGAAGCUGACUGUCACUAGGGAAGGGUCUCUUUCAGAAGGUCUUUCCUUAGUGAAGCUUUCCCUUACAAACAUAGAAUCUUCUGAUACAGAAUUACAGGUCGCAUUUGUUUGAAAGAACGUGUGGUAUGCGUGAAAGAAUGAUUCAUAGAAGGGCAGAAAAAGAAGAGAGGAAGAGAAUGCAAAAUCAGUGCGAAGUGAGCUCAGGAACAACUCUGAAAUCUAAAAAGAUGGAUUUCAAGUAAAUAUGAAUGAGAGUAGAAGUUACCUCCUGUGUAUUGGAUCUUUCCUUGAAAUGUUUUCUGUGGAUGGGGCGAUCAGGAAAGGGAUUUAUUUUAAAUCCUAGUCACACUUUGUUAGGUGCAGUCUGAGAAGCACGUAAUAUGGGAAGAGCUUCUACAUGAAUAACUAUAUAAUUACUCAGUCUCAUGUUUAAAAAUUUAAUAUUAAAAAUAGAUUAUUUCAAGUCAGAGAAAACCAUUUCAUCUUAGAGCUGUUCAUCAUGUUGGCUGAUGCAUAUUGAAACUCCUGCUCCCUACGUACAGUUUGAUACUAGCUACUGCAUUUUUCAGCUGGUGAUUAUUCAGUCAACAAUGAGAAGAGAGCUAUUAUCUAUUAUCAGGAUGGCAGUGAUGUGAUAGUAACAAUUCCGCUCAGAAAGAUUCAAGGAUUCAUCCAAAAUCAUGGAAUAGGGUAUCCUGAUCUGAAGGUGCCACAGAAAGGCGCCACCUUCAGAGUCUUUGUGGAUUUUGUGCUGAAAUAGGAUUUAUUUGUGAUCAUACAGCAAAGGCAGUGUUCUCAGAACUGUUUCUAAGAAUAGCAGGAUGAAUUCUUCAGCUGUUCUGAGUAAUUUCAGAGCAGCAUAUAUUGUGUGUUUCUCUAUCCCAUGAGAGCCUUUUGAUCGUGAAAAUACAUAAUUUUACAUCAGUGAUUUUUGGAUUCUUUUUUCAUUCAUAUUAGCUUGACUUGCUGGAGAAACUUACUUUGCUGCACAGUGUUUGAAGAAUCUCUGUGGAAUUUGGAAAGCAAUAGAUGCAUCAGCUUUAGAACUUCACAUUUCUUCACCUUAACUCUGAGCAAAUGACAAAAGACUGUGAAAAACUAAGUGGUAGACUUGAAAAUGAAGAAUCUGAGAGAAACAGCGAAGCAUCUGAACCACAAGAGAACUGUCCUCAGAAGAUUCAUUAUGAUGCUGUCAAAGCUUACUGCAUGUGUUUCAAUUGAUAUAAGUAAUCACUAGCAUCUUUAUGAGCAGCGAAGUAUAGUUAUGGCCAGCACGGGAGAUGGCAAUGAUAUGGCAGAUUGGGUUAUUCCAUAGUAAAUGUCAGCUGUCACCAGUCCUGAAAGCCAUUGAUUGGCUCUAUUACUAAUGGGAGAUAAAACAAAAAUCAACAUUAUUGACAUUAUAGGAGGAAGGAAAAAGAGUGCUGGAAAGAUUAAAGAACAAAGGAAAAGCAAUCUGAUCUAUCUGAAUCUAAGUGAAUCCGGCUGAAAUGUCCAGAGGUUUCGUCAACAGGAGAGGCUGCUUCUUUUACAUUCCGCAGCUCUUGUUUGUCCCAGGGUCAGAUAGCUUCAGGACUGCCUUAACUAAUACCUGGAACACAAGGCUGAUGGAGUAGUUUGGUUAGCAAAUAAUUGUGAAAGUAUAAAUUUCAUGUAACAAUGUUAUAUGAAAUCCUGUGAUAACGUCCCUUGCACUGUUGGCUAGGCAAGAGAUCUCAAGAAGCCUAUCUUCUAAAAGCAAAAUUGAAGAUUUACAAGCAAACACAUGCAUAUUUGGCAGUAUGAAUAUUUGUUUUAAAGUUCAGAAAUAGAAAAAAUGGCAUAAAAUAUUUUGACAAAUAUUUAUCUUAUGAAGCCAUUUAAACCACGACAUACCACAUCAACACAUCUCUGAUGGCUUCAGCAGGAACACAAGCUGAAUGUGCUGAAUGACUGUUUUGCUUAACUCCUCCUCAUGCCAGAAGAUAAAUGUACUUUCUUUUUCUGUUUUGAAACUUGAACUAUACUUACAGGAGUGCUGCUCAGAUUGUUAUCAGUUUGAAUACAGGUAAUUACUAGGUUCAUUCAGGAGGGCACAGCAGCAAGCAGACAAUAUCUCAAGACUUCAUUGGCAGGAAUCUAAAAAGACAGGAGUUUGAAGAACAUCCUCAGAACUUAUUUUCCAUUGGACAGCCUCUUGCAGCUCUUUAUGUAGUCCCUGUCCUGUAAAUAGCAAGAUUCUUUGUUGUCAGGUAAUUGAAGAAAGCAAUGGUUAUUUUAUUAGCACUCUUUCACUGGGUUUAUUGGAAUUCUAUAUACAAUAUGUCAAUCAGUUGCUGUUUCCAUUGACUUCCAAGAAAGUUUUGCUCUUUGAUUUUCUCUUGAGGCUCUUAAAACUUCUUAAUUUCCCAAAAUACUUUGCUAACCCACUUUUAGUAUUCUUACUCUUAUUAUUCUUAAUUGUUUCAUAGCCAGUCAAGAUAAAUAACAGUUCCUAGCAAUCUCAGAUAUGUAAUAUUUUCAGGUAUAUAUAUUCUCUACUAACUGUAGGAGAAUAACGUGUGGUUAACAUAUUAUAUGGAAAUAAGACGUCUGGAAUCAAUUCAUGUUCUUACCACAGAAACUUGGUGCAACCUUGGGCAAAUCACAGCAGGAAAAAAUAUACAACACAAAUCUUUAGGCAUAUGAUCUAGAUACUUCAGCAAUAAUCUAGUCUCCCAGUGCAUUUCCUGUGAGCUAUAGAUAGGGAAUCAUGUUGGUGCCUCCUUUUUCUUUCUGCAAAAGCUAUCAGGCUUCCGUUCUUUGAUUCCUUGCUAUGUGUAUAUUCAAAGCUAGCUCAGCGAGAUCCUUGAGCCCUGUAGCCGAGUUGACUCUAGCAGUAUCAAAGACUGACCAGUAGGUAUAAUUCUAUGGAAGAAAAGCAGCUGAGAAAGUUUAUUACUUUAUAAACGCUUCCUUUUUAAUAUGUUCAUGCAUAUGUAUAUCUGUGUAUGUACUUGUGCAUAUGUGCAUGGCUACACAUGUAUUUGUGAAUGGCUGUAUAGGUGUAUGAAAGAUUAAAAACAAGGCACUAUGCAGAUAUAAGGAGAUUAAUUAAGCGACAGAAGAAUUCCACAAAAAACACAGAGCAUAAUUCCCACUAAGUGUUCUGCCUUGUACUUGCCUAUAUUCUCCAUCUAGAAUGAGUAAGUGGAAACACUUCAUCAGCAUCCCAGAUUACAAGAGGAGCAGAAUGCUUAUCAACUGCCACGCAUUUCAUAAAGGGGAAGAAGCUGUUUGCUGUAGUGAAAAUCAGAAGAGGCUGAAGAGAAGCAAUCCUGUCUCUUACUCCCACACCUGCACAGUUCAGCUAUGCCGAAGCACUUUAGUCAGUCUCAAAAAAUCAAGAAUAUAAUUUUAAAUCCUAUUGUCCUCUUGCACAAAGGGGAGAUCCAGGGCUUUCAUACCAUACACAUUGCUGCUUGAUGGAAAGAACUAAAAAUAGCUUCUAAAACCUGAUUAAAUUUAUGUAUAUUUGCAAAUUGGAUUUGGUCGUUAUAUUAACAGAACAAUGCUAUUUGUAGAGCAAAUAUAUGUACUUCAUUAUUUACUGUGUAAGAUUUAAAAAAUGUAUAUUUACAGAACAUAGAAAAUAAGAGGAAAUAUUUAAGACAUUAGUAUUGUCCACGAUUCCUUUAUAACAAGGCAGGUUUUGUCCAUACUUCUUGAGAAAUGGCAUUUCCUACAAUAGUACCCACGAAGAAUAAGACCUAUUUUGCCAAGCGCUAUGGAAACAGAAUAAUCUUGAAACCAGCCCUACCUCAAACAGUUUACAAUCUAAGAAAUGAGAGAAAGCAGAUAGUAGGUGUUCGUUUAGUCUUUAUGUCUUGCCUUGUAUACUGGAACUGUAAAGAAUUAUAUAAAUUGUUGCUGGUUCUGAUGCAGUUUUGUGAUUUGCAGAUUAAACUGAAACAGUAAGGAUGGCUUCUGCCCUACUGUUCCAAGACAUGUUUGAACCUACAGAUCUGAAUAAAUCUGACAAACUCCUUUCUCACAAGGUCUUUUGACUUUCAUGGCUUUGAUUCAAACUUGGAUGGAAGUAGAGAAGCUACAGAUCUUCCAAUUGCUUCUAAACCAAAUUCUACAUUAAAUCAAGCUUCAGACUUUGAUUCUGUUCCAUAAUUACUCUGAAAAUUAGUACUAUUUAUUUGCCCUUAAAUGUUCUGAAAUCAUUAAAAUGCUCCCAUUUUAACAUUUGCUGGCAG